GAUGAAGACGUAGCGAAAUGCGAUAAGUAAUGUGAAUUGCAGAAUUCAGUGAAUCAUCGAAUCUUUGAACGCACCUUGCACCCUUUGGCAUUCCGAAGGGUAUGCUCGUUUGAGUGUCAUUGUACUCUCACACUUCCGAUCUUUGGAUUGGGAGCGGUGGACUUGGGUGUUGCUGCUUACUGUGGCUCACCUCAAAUCGAUUCGUGCACCUCUUGGUUGGACAUAGUACGGCGUGAUAAGUGUCUUCGCCGGCACCUCAGUAGAGGGUGGCUGAUCGGGAGCUCUGCUUCAAACCGUCCUCGGACAACAACUGACAACUUGACCUCAAAUCGAGUAGGACUACCCGCUGAACUUAAGCAUAUCAAUAAGCGGAGGA
rnacentral:misc_RNA from 1 species